UACGUAGGGGGCGAGCGUUGUCCGGAAUGAUUGGGCGUAAAGGGCGCGUAGGCGGCCCGGUAAGUCUGGAGUGAAAGUCCUGUUUUUAAGAUGGGAAUUGCUUUGGAUACUGUCGGGCUUGAGUGCAGGAGAGGUAAGUGGAAUUCCCAGUGUAGCGGUGAAAUGCGUAGAGAUCGGGAGGAACACCAGUGGCGAAGGCGGGUAACUGGACUGCAACUGACGCUGAGGCGCGAAAGUGUGGGGAGCAAACAGGAUUAGAUACCCUGGUAGUCCACACUGUAAACGAUGAAUGCUAGGUGUAAGAGGUAUCGACCCCUUGUGUGCCGGAGUUAACACAAUAAGCAUUCCGCCUGGGGAGUACGGCCGCAAGGUUGAAACUCAAAUGAAUUGACGGGG
rnacentral:rRNA from 1 species